AUUGAUCCCUGAGGUCUUCAAAUAGGCCACUGCAGCUAUAGCUUCAACUGAUGCGUCUGAGAAAAUAUGGAUUUCCCUCUGUUUAGCGGCUGAAAUGGAGACUGGGGCAUAGCAACGUGGAAUUUGGAGCUGUUCUUGUGGCUUCAGAGAACCUCUCCAUUUCUCCCAUCUUUGUUGUUUCUCCAUGGGUAACGGAGUGUCCCAAUCUAUGUUAUCAGUAGUAAGCUGUCUUAGAAGCAUCUUACCUUGGGUGGUGACUGGGGCUAUAAAUCCCAGUGGGUCGUAGAUGCUAUUCACCAUGGACAAGACUCCUCUCUUGGUAAAAGGUUUGUCACAGGUUGACACUUGAAAGGUGAAUGUGUCUUCUUUGAUGUUCCACAGCAGACCUAGAC